rnacentral:tRNA from 1 species
GGUUAGCUUAGAGCUUACACCCUGCUACUUAGCUGUAAGCAGUAGUAAUAAGCUA